rnacentral:rRNA from 1 species
GGAGUAUGGGCCGUGUCUCAGUCCCAUUGUGGCUGAUCAUCCUCUCAAACCAGCUACUGAUCGUCGCCUUGGUGGUCCAUUACACCCCCAACUAGCUAAUCAGAUGCAGACUCAUCCCAGAGCACCGGAGUUUUCACGAAUAGCAUCUCAGCUACGCGCAUAUGCGGUAUUAGCAGAAGUUUCCCUCUGUUGUCCCACUCUCUAGGGGCAGAUUCUCUACAUAUUACUCACCCGUCCGCCACUUUCCUCUUUAGCAAGCUAAAGAUUCUCGUUCGACUUGCAUGUAUGAAGCACGCCGCCAGCGUCGUCCUGAGCCAUGAUCUAAACUCU